rnacentral:rRNA from 1 species
CGACCGGCGCACGGGUGAGUAACACGUAUGGAACCUGCCCGCAGCAGGGGGAUAAGCGGAAGAAAUUCCGUCUAAUACCGCGUAACAACGUUGGGAGGCAUCUCCCGAUGUUUAAAGAUUUAUCGGCUGCGGAUGGCCAUGCGGCGCAUUAGCUAGUCGGCGGGGUAACGGCCCACCGAGGCGACAAUGCGUAGGGGUUCUGAGAGGAAGGUCCCCCACACUGGUACUGAGACACGGACCAGACUCCUACGGGAGGCAGCAG